rnacentral:lncRNA from 1 species
AACAAUCAAGCAUUUCACAAAUGAUAUAGCAAGGCAAUGUCAAACAUACAUACGUGUUCAAACUUCUUAGACAAAAUAUUUUCCAGUCCAGGCACAACUUCGAAAUUAAUAAUCAUUAAAAACUAGAUAGAAUGAGGAUCACAAUGCAAAAAAUUGGAGAUCAUUUGGUUGAGUUUUCAAUUUUUUAUGAUAUUUGGAAGUUG